rnacentral:rRNA from 1 species
AACGGGUGAGGAAUACAUGGAUAACGUACCCUUGACUCAGGGAUAGCGGCGGGGAAACCCUUUGCGAAAGUGCCGGUAAUACCUGAUGACCCCGCGGGAUCGCAUGAUCUUGCGGGCAAAGUUACGGCGGUCUUGGAGCGGUUCAUGUCCUAUCAGCUAGUUGGCGGGGUAACGGCCCACCAAGGCUGCGACGGGUAUCGGGCGUGAGAGCGUGACCCGACACAUCGGAACUGAGAUACGGUCCGGACACCUACGGGUGGCUGCAGCAACGAAUAUUCCGCAAUGGGCGAAAGCCUGACGGAGCGACGCCGCGUGCAGGAGGAAGUCCCUCGGGAUGUAAACUGCUGUCAGGGGUGAGAAAAAAUGAUCAGCCCCAGAGGAAGCAUCGGCUAACUCCGUGCCAGCAGCCGCGGUAAUACGGAGGAUGCGAGCGUUGUUCGGAAUCACUGGGCUUAAAGGGCGUGUAGGCGGGUUGCCAAGUGUCGGGUGAAAUCCCUCGGCUCAACCGAGGAACGGCCCGGCAGACUGGCGAUCUUGAGGCAGGCAGAGGUGACUGGAACGACGGGUGGAGCGGUGAAAUGCGUAGAUAUCCGUUGGAACGCCGGAGGCGAAAGCGGGUCGCUGGGCCUGUCCUGACGCUGAUACGCGAAAGCGUGGGUAGCAAACAGGAUUAGAUACCCUGGUAGUCCACGCCGUAAACGAUGCGCACUAGGUAUGAGAAGCUCUCACGCUGAUCGUGCCGAAGCAAAAGUGCUAAGUGCGCCGCCUGGGGAGUACGGCCGCAAGGCUAAAACUCAAAGGAAUUGACGGGGGCUCACACAAGCGGUG